AACUAGAUUUCAAGGGGAAAAAAAAAGAAAUAAAAAAAAAAAAAAGACUGAAGUGGUUUGCAUAUCCCCUUCCUCGCUGGGAACCUUAUGAAUCCUCGCAGCAAAAACAAACCCCUUCCUUGUUGUGAUCACCAUCCGGAAGAAAAACGAAAGAUUGAAGCAAAAUUUAAAUAAUUUGUGGACCUAUGGAGAGAGAAGAUGAGGAACUAGAUCUGGAUCCAUGAGAGAACCACACUGAACCACUAUUGAAGAACAAGAAAAUCAUGGAAUCAAAGAUAAAAAUCAAAUUUGUUGGCCGUUUUAGGAGCGUGCCGUCAAACAUGGUCCUGGACCAUCUCCAUCAAUCUAGAGUGUGCUGCCGAACAUGGUCCUUCUUCUUUGUCUUCAUCCUUUGGUUGUUUUAGGAGAGAAGGUGAUGGGGUAAAAUGGCCAGAUAUGAAAUUCAAAGAAGUGGAACCCAAUUCUUUGGGUCUGGGUGUGGAACUCAGUUACAUCUAAUUUUCUUGCCCAGGUACUUUAACAGGCUGAUAUGUUUCUCGACAAAAACAAGGAUUAUGUGGUUGCAGAACAUCAGGCUCUACAGACAGCCUCAAGAUGCUCAUUUGUGGCUGGUCUAUUCCCACCUUCUCAAGAGGAGUCAUCAAAAUCAUCCAAGUUCUCAUCAAUUGGAUCGCGUUUCAAGCUAUGUACUUUUCUUCCCUGGAAUGAAGUAUAUGAAUACAUGAACGAUCAUAGAAGUAGGACGUGCUGAGUAAUUGCCUAUGUGGCACUGGGGUAGGGCUUUUCUUGCUGAUUGCAGAAGUUAUUUUGGACAGUACAUAAUCGAGUUACAGCUUCAAUCUUUGAUGGAGACCUUAAGUUCAACAGAUCCUCACUAUAUCAGUGUGAAACCAAACAAUGUCCUGAAGCCUGCUAUUUUUGAAAGUGUCAACAUUAUCCAACAAUUGCGCUGUGGUG